UGCAGUCGAACGCUUUGAUUUUCUUGUGGCUUGCUUUACCGAAAAUCAAAGAGUGGCGGGCGGGUGAGUAACACGUGGGCAACCUGCCCAACAGAGGGGGGUAACACUUGGAAACAGGUGCUAAUACCGCAUAAUUUGUUUUCCCGCAUGGGAGAAUAAUAAAAGACGCUUCGGUGUCACUGUUGGAUGGGCCCGCGCUGCAUUAGUUAGUUGGGGGGGUAAUGGCCUACCAAGCCCGGGAUGCAUAGCCGACCUGAGAGGGUGAUCGGCCACACUGGGUCUGAGACACGGCCCAGACUCCUACGGGAGGCAGCAGUAGGGAAUCUUCGGCAAUGGACGAAAGUCUGACCGAGCAACGCCGCGUGAGUGAAGAAGGUUUUCGGAUCGUAAAACUCUGUUGUUAGAGAAGAACAAGUGGGACAGUAACUGUUCCCACCUUGACGGUAUCUAACCAGAAAGCCACGGUUAACUACGUGCC
rnacentral:rRNA from 1 species